GACGAACGCUGGCGGCGUGCUUAACACAUGCAAGUCGAACGGAGCUUAUGGAGAGCUUGCUCGAAGUAAGCUUAGUGGCGAACGGGUGAGUAACGCGUGAGAAACCUGCCUCUCAGUGGGGGACAACAGUUGGAAACGACUGCUAAUACCGCAUAAUGUAUUCGGAAGGCAUCUUCUGAAUACCAAAGCUUUAUGUGCUGAGAGAUGGUCUCGCGUCUGAUUAGCUAGAUGGCGGGGUAACGGCCCACCAUGGCGACGAUCAGUAGCCGGUCUGAGAGGAUGAACGGCCACAUUGGGACUGAGAUACGGCCCAGACUCCUACGGGAGGCAGCAGUGGGGAAUAUUGGGCAAUGGGGGAAACCCUGACCCAGCAACGCCGCGUGAAGGAAGAAGGCUUUCGGAUCGUAAACUCCUGUCCUCAGGGAAGAGCAGAAGACGGUACCUGAGGAGGAAGCCCGGCUAACUACGUG
rnacentral:rRNA from 1 species